GUGCCUGAAACUAAUGAGUAAGGAAAACCAAACAAGGCCUUGCUAACCGCUUGGCAGUAUUGGCUUCAAGGCAGGGGGAUGUGUGCUUCAUUCAUCCCCCGAAGCUCAAUUUUUGUAAGGGCACAGGUCGUCCCCUUCGCCGUCAGGUGAACGGUGUCCGGCGGCGCUAGCUGGGCACCUACUUUGUGUCCGGGGAUCGCUGCUGGGUGCC